rnacentral:rRNA from 1 species
UACGGGGGGGGCAAGCGUUGUUCGGAAUUACUGGGCGUAAAGCGCGUGUAGGCGGCUAUGCAAGUCGGGCGUGAAAUCCCACGGCUCAACCGUGGAAGUGCACUCGAAACUGCGUAGCUAGAGUCCCGGAGAGGAAGGUGGAAUACUUGGUGUAGAGGUGAAAUUCGUAGAUAUCAAGUGGAACACCGGUGGCGAAGGCGGCCUUCUGGACGGUGACUGACGCUGAGACGCGAAAGCGUGGGGAGCAAACAGG